UCUAGCUACAGGCUUAACACAUGCAAGUCGAGGGGCAGCAUGGUCUUAGCUUGCUAAGGCCGAUGGCGACCGGCGCACGGGUGAGUAACACGUAUCCAACCUGCCGUCUACUCUUGGACAGCCUUCUGAAAGGAAGAUUAAUACAAGAUGGCAUCAUGAGUCCGCAUGUUCACAUGAUUAAAGGUAUUCCGGUAGACGAUGGGGAUGCGUUCCAUUAGAUAGUAGGCGGGGUAACGGCCCACCUAGUCUUCGAUGGAUAGGGGUUCUGAGAGGAAGGUCCCCCACAUUGGAACUGAGACACGGUCCAAACUCCUACGGGAGGCAGCAGUGAGGAAUAUUGGUCAAUGGGCGAGAGCCUGAACCAGCCAAGUAGCGUGAAGGAUGACUGCCCUAUGGGUUGUAAACUUCUUUUAUAAAGGAAUAAAGUCGGGUAUGGAUACCCGUUUGCAUGUACUUUAUGAAUAAGGAUCGGCUGACUCCGUGCCAGCAGCCGCGGUAAUACGGAGGAUCCGAGCGUUAUCCGGAUUUAUUGGGUUUAAAGGGAGCGUAGAUGGAUGUUUAAGUCAGUUGUGAAAGUUUGCGGCUCAACCGUAAAAUUGCAGUUGAUACUGGAUAUCUUGAGUGCAGUUGAGGCAGGCGGAAUUCGUGGUGUAGCGGUGAAAUGCUUAGAUAUCACGAAGAACUCCGAUUGCGAAGGCAGCCUGCUAAGCUGCAACUGACAUUGAGGCUCGAAAGUGUGGGUAUCAAACAGGAUUAGAUACCCUGGUAGUCCACACGGUAAACGAUGAAUACUCGCUGUUUGCGAUAUACUGCAAGCGGCCAAGCGAAAGCGUUAAGUAUUCCACCUGGGGAGUACGCCGGCAACGGUGAAACUCAAAGGAAUUGACGGGGGCCCGCACAAGCGGAGGAACAUGUGGUUUAAUUCGAUGAUACGCGAGGAACCUUACCCGGGCUUAAAUUGCAGAUGAAUUACGGUGAAAGCCGUAAGCCGCAAGGCAUCUGUGAAGGUGCUGCAUGGUUGUCGUCAGCUCGUGCCGUGAGGUGUCGGCUUAAGUGCCAUAACGAGCGCAACCCUUGUUGUCAGUUACUAACAGGUUCCGCUGAGGACUCUGACAAGACUGCCAUCGUAAGAUGUGAGGAAGGUGGGGAUGACGUCAAAUCAGCACGGCCCUUACGUCCGGGGCUACACACGUGUUACAAUGGGGGGUACAGAGGGCCGCUACCACGCGAGUGGAUGCCAAUCCCCAAAACCUCUCUCAGUUCGGACUGGAGUCUGCAACCCGACUCCACGAAGCUGGAUUCGCUAGUAAUCGCGCAUCAGCCACGGCGCGGUGAAUACGUUCCCGGGCCUUGUACACACCGCCCGUCAAGCCAUGGGAGCCGGGGGUACCUGAAGUGCGUAACCGCGAGGAGCGCCCUAGGGUAAAACUGGUGACUGGGGC
rnacentral:rRNA from 1 species